rnacentral:tRNA from 1 species
GCGCCUGAUCCGCAGGGUCGUCCACCUCUCUCCUGAAGCGGGUGUCGCAGGUUCGAAUCCUGCCGGGGGCGCU